GACGAACGCUGGCGGCGUGCCUAAUACAUGCAAGUAGAACGCACAGUUUAUACCGUAGCUUGCUACACCAUAGACUGUGAGUUGCGAACGGGUGAGUAACGCGUAGGUAACCUGCCUGGUAGCGGGGGAUAACUAUUGGAAACGAUAGCUAAUACCGCAUAAUAUUGAUUAUUGCAUGAUAAUUAAUUGAAAGGUGCAAUUGCACCACUACCAGAUGGACCUGCGUUGUAUUAGCUAGUAGGUGAGGUAACGGCUCACCUAGGCGACGAUACAUAGCCGACCUGAGAGGGUGAUCGGCCACACUGGGACUGAGACACGGCCCAGACUCCUACGGGAGGCAGCAGUAGGGAAUCUUCGGCAAUGGACGAAAGUCUGACCGAGCAACGCCGCGUGAGUGAAGAAGGUUUUCGGAUCGUAAAGCUAUGUUGUAAGAGAAGAACGGGUGUGAGAGUGGAAAGUUCACACUGUGACGGUAUCUUACCAGAAAGGGACGGCUAACUACGUG
rnacentral:rRNA from 1 species